UGGGGAAUUUUGGACAAUGGGCGAAAGCCUGAUCCAGCAAUGCCGCGUGUGUGAAGAAGGCCUUCGGGUUGUAAAGCACUUUUGUCCGGAAAGAAAUCCUUGGCUCUAAUACAGUCGGGGGAUGACGGUACCGGAAGAAUAAGCACCGGCUAACUACGUGCCAGCAGCCGCGGUAAUACGUAGGGUGCAAGCGUUAAUCGGAAUUACUGGGCGUAAAGCGUGCGCAGGCGGUUUGCUAAGACCGAUGUGAAAUCCCCGGGCUCAACCUGGGAACUGCAUUGGUGACUGGCAGUGCUAGAGUAUGGCAGAGGGGGGUUAGAAUUCCACGUGUAGCAGUGAAAUGCGUAGAGAUGUGGAGGAAUACCGAUGGCGAAGGCAGCCCCCUGGGCCAAUACUGACGCUCAUGCACGAAAGCGUGGGGAGCAAACAGGAUUAGAUACCCUGGUAGUCCACGCCCUAAACGAUGUCAACUAGUUGUUGGGGAUUCAUUUCCUUAGUAACGUAGCUAACGCGUGAAGUUGACCGCCUGGGGGAGUACGGUCGCAAGAUUAAAACUCAAAUGAAUUGACGGGGUCAUAGCUGUUUCCU
rnacentral:rRNA from 1 species